AAAUUGAAGAGUUUGAUCAUGGCUCAGAUUGAACGCUGGCGGCAGGCCUAACACAUGCAAGUCGAACGGUAGCACAGAGAGCUUGCUCUCGGGUGACGAGUGGCGGACGGGUGAGUAAUGUCUGGGAAACUGCCCGAUGGAGGGGGAUAACUACUGGAAACGGUAGCUAAUACCGCAUAACGUCGCAAGACCAAAGUGGGGGACCUUCGGGCCUCACACCAUCGGAUGUGCCCAGAUGGGAUUAGCUAGUAGGUGGGGUAACGGCUCACCUAGGCGACGAUCCC
rnacentral:rRNA from 1 species